rnacentral:rRNA from 1 species
CCUGUCUCAGAUAGAACGCGGGCGGCAUGCUUUACACACACAAGUGGAAGCACAGCGGGGGUUUNGGCGUACGGGAGAGUGGAGAACGGGGGUGAAAUACAUGGAAGCGAUCCCAUGUCGGGGGGGAAAAUAGCUCAAAAAAUACGGAAAUAUCGCAUACAUCGCGGGGGAAAAAGCGGGGGUUUUUAGAACCUCGCGCGAUUGGAGCGGACGAUCUCGGAUUACAUAGUAGGUGAGGUAAAGGCUCACCUAGGCGACGAUCCGUAGCGGGUCUGAGAGGAUGAUCCGCCACACCGGGACUGAGACACGGCCCAGACUCCUACGGGAGGCAGCAGUGGGGAAUUUUGGACAAUGGGGGCAACCCUGAUCCAGCCAUGCCGCGUGAGUGAAGAAGGCCUUCGGGUUGUAAAGUUCUUUNGGCCGGGAAGAAAUAAUAGUCUNUAACAUAG